rnacentral:rRNA from 1 species
ACGUAGGGCGCAAGCGUUGUCCGGAAUUAUUGGGCGUAAAGAGCUCGUAGGCGGUUUGUCGCGUCUGCCGUGAAAUCCUGGGGCUUAACUCUGGGCGUGCGGUGGGUACGGGCAGACUAGAGUGCGGUAGGGGAGACUGGAAUUCCUGGUGUAGCGGUGGAAUGCGCAGAUAUCAGGAGGAACACCGGUGGCGAAGGCGGGUCUCUGGGCCGUUACUGACGCUGAGGAGCGAAAGCAUGGGGAGCGAACAG